rnacentral:rRNA from 1 species
GUAGCGACUGCGAAAUUAAUGCGACCCGCAACACGUGAGUCAUCGAGUCUUUGAACGCAUAUUGCACCCGACAGGUUCACUUCGUCGGGUCUGCCUGUCUGAGUAUCAAUACGGACCCAAUCAAUAAAUAAUAUUUGUUGUGUUGGUGCUCAUUAAUUUAUUAAUGGAUUUGAAUGUUCAAUUACCUUUUGUUAAUUGAUUAUUUGAAAUGUAUUGGUAUUAGUCAAUCAGUUGAUAAUUGCCAACAGCUAUUAAGCAUUGUUAAUCAUCUUUUAUUAGAUGUUCAUUGCUCUACAAGUCGUUGGAAUCACGAUUAUUAGCCGCUGUGUAAAAGCAGUGUAGUAUUGAAUAGACCAAAAGCACACUUGUUAUUACAUUUUUUGUAGUGCAAGAGUACACUUUUAACCAUCUUGAUCUCAGAUCAGGCAGGAUGACCCGCUGAACUUAAGCAUAUCAGUAAGCGGAGGAAAAGAAACUAACCAGGAUUCCCUUAGUAACGGCGAGUGAAGCGGGAAUAGCCCAAUCUGAAAAGCUAGUCUGCCCUGGAGCAGGUCUCGCAUUGUAGGUUGAUGAAUCGUUUCCUAGUGUUAAACCUUUCAAUUAAAGUUCCUUGGAACAGGACAUCAAAGAGGGUGAUAAUCCCGUGAUUAAUUGAAUGACAUACCAGUUUAAUGCGCCUAUGGAGCGUUUUCUUAGAGUCGGAAUGUUUGGGAUUGCAUUCCAAAAUGGGUGGUAAACUCCAUCUAAGGCUAAAUACUGGCGAGAGACCGAUAGCGAACAAGUACCGUGAGGGAAAGUUGAAAAGCACUCUGGAGAGAGAGUCAAACAGUACGUGAAAUUGCUAGCAGGGAAACGUUGGGCACCAGUACACGGCAAUCAAUGCUAAUGAUCAGUCGAUUUCUUAAUAAAUUAUGAUGUGGUGUUUACUUUGAAGAUUGUCCUUGCGGCGACUUACAUAUUAUAAAUUGUUAAUUGAUCGGUGCACUCUUUGGCAGCCGGGUCAACAUCGGUUAAUGACGUUCGACAAGUCUUUAGACAAGGUAGCAUCAGUGGGUUUUGCUCACUUUUGAACUUAUAGGUCUAAUGUACGAGAAUGUCGUUGACCGAGGAUAGUCGAUUCGCGCGCUUCGGUGCAGGGCGUAUUGGUUGGGUCAAGGUUGCCCGUGAUGCUAAGCAGCAUGCUGAUUAGUAUUCAUUUUACUAUACUUGUAUAGUAGUGGCGGUCGUCCAGAUUAAUACAAGCCACUAGCGAGUCAA